rnacentral:rRNA from 1 species
UUCCGGUUGAUCCUGCCGGAGGUCACUGCUAUCGGGGUUCGAUUAAGCCAUGCGAGUCGAGAGGGUUCAGACCCUCGGCGGACUGCUCAGUAACACGUGGAUAAUCUGCCCUAUGGUGGAGGAUAACCCCGGGAAACUGGGGAUAAUACUCCAUAAGUCAGGAGUACUGGAAUGUCUCCUAACUGAAAGUUUCGGCGCCAUAGGAUGAAUCUGCGGCCGAUUAGGUAGUUGUUGGGGUAACGGCCCAACAAGCCCGUAAUCGGUACGGGUUGUGGGAGCAAGAGCCCGGAGAUGGAAUCUGAGACACGAUUCCAGGCCCUACGGGGCGCAGCAGGCGCGAAAACUUUACAAUGCAGGAAACUGUGAUAAGGGAACCCCGAGUGCCCGUACACGCGGGCUGUCCCGGUGUUUAAAACACAUCGGAAGAAAGGGCCGGGCAAGACCGGUGCCAGCCGCCGCGGUAAUACCGGCGGCUCGAGUGGUGACCACUUUUAUUGGGCUUAAAGCGUUCGUAGCUUGAUUUUUAAGUCUCUUGGGAAAUCUCACGGCUUAACUGUGAGGCGUCUAAGAGAUACUGGGAAUCUAGGGACCGGGAGAGGUAAGAGGUACUUCAGGGGUAGAAGUGAAAUUCUGUAAUCCUUGAGGGACCACCGAUGGCGAAGGCAUCUUACCAGAACGGCUUCGACAGUGAGGAACGAAAGCUGGGGGAGCGAACGGGAUUAGAUACCCCGGUAGUCCCAGCCGUAAACUAUGCGCGUUAGGUGUGCCUGUAACUACGAGUUACCGGGGUGCCGAAGUGAAAACGUGAAACGUGCCGCCUGGGAAGUACGGUCGCAAGGCUGAAACUUAAAGGAAUUGGCGGGGGAGCACCACAACGGGUGGAGCCUGCGGUUUAAUUGGAUUCAACGCCGGA